rnacentral:rRNA from 1 species
AUUGAACGCUGGCGGCAGGCCUAAUACAUGCAAGUCGAGCGGAGCGGCGGACGGGGGAGUAAUGCCUAGGAAUCUGCCCGGUGGUGGGGGAUACCGUCCGGAAACGGGCCCUAAUACCGCAUACUAUCAGAUGAGCCUAGGUGGGAUUAGCUAGUUGGUGGGGUAGAGGCCUACCAAGGCGACGAUCCGUAACUGGUCUGAGAGGAUGAUCAGUCACACUGGAACUGAGACACGGUCCAGACUCCUACGGGAGGCAGCAGUGGGGAAUAUUGGACAAUGGGCGAAAGCCUGAUCCAGCCAUGCCGCGUGUGUGAAGAAGGUCUUCGGAUUGUAAAGCACUUUAAGUUGGGAGGCGUUACCAACAGAAUAAGCACCGGCUAACUUCGUGCCAGCAGCCGCGGUAAUUC